rnacentral:lncRNA from 1 species
AAUUUUUUUUAUUAUUCUAUGAUUUUAACUGUAUCAAUUUAUUACCCAGUAAUUUUAUUUUUCUCUUCUUAUUAUUUCAUCUAUUUAUUUUUUUCGUUAAAUUUAUGACAAAAUUAAAACUAAAAAGUACUAAAGUGAAUAUUGGAUAAAUCUAGAUGGAAUAUCUGAAAUUUUUUGUAUAUAAUUUAAUAAAAUAUUAACGGAGAAGCUGAAAAAGAGAAAAAUGAAACUACAAUGUACUAACUUGAUAUAUUUUAAACUAUAGAAUACUAAAGUGAAAAAGUGUGAAACUAUGAGGAUUAAGGAUGGUAUUUGAAGUUUACUUAUAUAAUAAUA